GGCCUGGUUAGUACUUGGAUCGGAGACCGUCUUGGAAUACCAGGUGCUUUAAGCUUUUGGAUUUUCUUUCCUACUUAUAUAAUGGCGAUUAGAUUGGAAUACCAGGUGCUGUAAGCUUUUUCGAAAUUUUUCACUUAGUAUAUAACAAUUUUGCCAAACAAUAGAGUCAAUGUCCGAUCUCUGAAUAUUAGCAGGUUUGGGCCUGGUUAGUAUAUGGAUGGGAGACUGCCUGGGAAUACCAAGGCUUUAAACUUUUUGGAAAUUUUUCACAAAUUAUAUAAUAAUCUUGCAAAAGAAAAAGAGUCAAUGCCCGAUCUCUGAAUAUUAGCAGGUUUGGGCCUGGUUAGUACUUGGAUGGGAGACCGCCUGGGAAUACCAGGUGCUGUAAGCUUUUUGGAAAUUUUUCACUUAGUAUAUAAUAAUUUUGCCAAACAAUAGAGUCAAUGCCCGAUCUCUAAAUAUUAGCAGGUUUGGGCCUGGUUAGUACAUGGAUGGGAGACUGCCUGGGAAUACCAGGACAUUAAACUUUUUGGAAAUUUUUCACAAAUUAUAUAAUAAUCUUGCAAAAAAAUAAAUAAAUAAAGAGUCAAUGCCCGAUCUCUGAAUAUUAGCAGGUUUGGGCCUGGUUAGUACUUGGAUGAGAGACUGCCUAGGAAUACCAGGUGCUUUAAGCUUUUGGGUUUUCUUUCCUACUUAUAUGAUGUACUGGCGAUUAGAUUGGAAUAUCAGGUGCUGUAAGCUUUUUGGAAAUUUUUCACUUAGUAAAUAAUAAUUUUGAGUCAAUGCCCGAUCUCUGAAUAUUAGCAGGUUUGGGCCUGGUUAGUACAUGGAUGGGAGACUGCCUGGGAAUACCAGGGCUUUAAACGUUUUGGAAAUUUUUCACAAAUUAUAUAAUAAUCUUGCAAAAAAAAAAAAAAAGUCAAUGCCCGAUCUCUGAAUAUUAGCAGGUUUGGGCCUGGUUAGUACUUGGAUGAGAGACCGCCUAGGAAUACCAGGUGCUUUAAGCUUUUGGGUUUUCUUUUCCUACUUAUAUAAUGUACUGGCGAUUAGAUUGGCUGAUCUUUAAAAAGCCCUCUCUUUGCAGCAGUCUUCGCUUACGGCCAUACCAACCUGGCAAUGCCCGAUCUCUAAACAUUAGCAGGUUUGGGCCUGGUUAGUACAUGGAUGAGAGACUGCCUAGGAAUACCAGGUGCUUUAAGCUUUUGGGUUUUCUUUCCUACUUAUAUGAUGUACUGGCGAUUAGAUUGGAAUAUCAGGUGCUGUAAGCUUUUUGGAAAUUUUUCACUUAGUAAAUAAUAAUUUUGCCAAACAAUAGAGUCAAUGCCCGAUCUCUAAAUAUUAGCAGGUUUGGGCCUGGUUAGUACUUGGAUGAGAGACUGCCUAGGAAUACCAGGUGCUUUAAGCUUUUGGGUUUUCUUUCCUACUUAUAUAAUGUACUGGCGAUUAUAUUGGAAUAUCAGGUGCUGUAAGCUUUUUGGAAAUUUUUCACUUAGUAAAUAAUAAUUUUGAGUCAAUGCCCGAUCUCUGAAUAUUAGCAGGUUUGGGCCUGGUUAGUACAUGGAUGGGAGACUGCCUGGGAAUACCAGGGCU